GAUUCUGUGGUGUAGUGGUUAUUACGCCCGUUCGGUAAACGGGAGACGUCAGGUUCGAGUCCUUACCGGAAUUA
rfam:Oryctes borbonicus contig3395, whole genome shotgun sequence.